UCACUGCGUACUGUUUUUGCUCAGGCAAGUCUUUCCUAUCAACAUGAUGAUCUAAUAGUUUUGACUUUUGAGAUGAAUUACUCUCAGCGGCACUGGCAUCUAUAACAUGACAGCACCUGCCACUUUAUGUUGCAUUUAUGUGUAAGAGUGGGGCUUAGAAUACAGUGUGCAUUAAAUUGUUGGGUACUUGGUCCACGCAAAUAUUAUUUGAUGUUUGAAGAGAUGAGAUAUCUGUUACAGCAUUGUGGUUUCAUUUUGUCUUUUUAUCUUAUUUUUCAGUCCAUGCUUCAAUGAUAGUGUAAGUUGUAAUUUUAGAAAACAUAAAAAUAAAAUAAACAUUAUAUAUAUAAACCCAAACUCAUAUGAUCUGCCAAUUUUUAGAGAUUUUUGUUGAGGGCUUUGGAACCUAGUUUUGUCUUUCAUUUUAAGACUUUCCCAUUCAUGUCUAUAUGUGGGAACACACUUUCUUAAAUUUUUUCAUUUCUGCUGGACCUUAAUGGGUAUCUGAGCUAUCAGGAAUUCAGCUUGAGCCUUGUGCAACAUUCCAAAAGCACGGUUCAAGUUUGAACAAGUGAAACCUAAUAGCUGGAACUCAGCCUUUCGUAGAUCGAUGGAUUAAUUUGCUUCACUAUGGCCUAGCAUCCUAACAUACAAGUCCUUCCUUUACAGUGACCAUUAUGUGAAUGCACAUAUGCACAUGUUCGCACACAUGCAAAUUGGUGAAUGGAUAGAAUCAAUCAAUG
rnacentral:misc_RNA from 1 species